rnacentral:rRNA from 1 species
CGUGUAUGAAGUAAGGCCUUCGGGUUGUAAAGUACUUUCAGUCAGUGAGGAAGGUGGAUUAUGUUAAUAGCAUAUUCAUUUGACGUUUAGCUGCAGAAGAAGCACCGGCUAACUCCGUGCCAGCAGCCGCGGUAAUACGGAGGGUGCGAGCGUUAAUCGGAAUUACUGGGCGUAAAGCGCAUGCAGGUGGUUUGUUAAGUCAGAUGUGAAAGCCCGGGGCUCAACCUCGGAAUUGCAUUUGAAACUGGCAAACUAGAGUACUGUAGAGGGGGUAGAAUUUCAGGUGUAGCGGUGAAAUGCGUAGAGAUCUGAAGGAAUACCGGUGGCGAAGGCGGCCCCCCUGGACAGAUACUGACACUCAGAUGCGAAAGCGUGGGGAGCAAACAGGAUUAGAUACCCUGGUAG